CAGGUCAUCGAGAGGAAUGCAGACCCUGAAGUUAAUCUGUUGUUCUAUCUGAGAAAAGUCAUCCGACUCACGGGGACAAAGUACGGCUGUGGAGGAGGUGGCUGUGGGGCCUGCACAGUGAUGGUCUCAAGAUAUGACCCCGUCUUCAAAAAGAUCAGUCAUUUCUCCGUCGCUGCCUGCCUGGUUCCCAUCUGCUCUCUUCAUGGGGCUGCUGUCACCACUGCUGAAGGCAUAGGAAGCACCAAGACCAGGAUUCACCCCGUCCAGGUAAUUUAUGCCGCUGCACUGGAUACAGACCCAUUGUGGAGAGCAUGAAAAGUCUCAGCCCCAGUUCAUCUUGCUGCCGGAUGAAUGGGAACGGGAAAUGUUGCUUGGAUGAAGAAGAAAAUGAGCCGGCGAAGAAAACCAGUAUUUACCCCAAAUUGUAUGAAAAAGAAGAAUUUCAGCCUUUGGAUCCAACUCAGGAGCUUAUAUUCCCACCUGAGCUAACGAGAAUGGCAGAGGAUCCCCAAAAGAGAGCUCUGACUUUUUGUGGGGAGAGGACUACCUGGAUUGCCCCAGGAACCUUAAAAGACCUCCUGGACCUGAAAAUGAAGUACCCCAGCGCUCCACUCAUGAUGGGCAACACCUC